rnacentral:rRNA from 1 species
UACGUAGGGGGGCUAGCGUUGUCCGGAAUCAUUGGGCGUAAAGCGCGUGUAGGCGGUCCGGUAAGUCCGCUGUGAAAAGUCGGGGGGCUCAACCCUCGGAUGCCGGUGGAUACUGUCGGGCUUGAGUACGGAAGAGGCGAGUGGAAUUCCUGGUGUAGCGGUGAAAUGCGCAGAUAUCAGGAGGAACACCAAUUGCGAAGGCAGCUCGCUGGGACGUUACUGACGCUGAGACGCGAAAGCGUGGGGAGCAAACAGG